rnacentral:piRNA from 1 species
UGUGCAGUGCUGAGACGAAAUUUGAGUC